GGGACCACAACCUGUGAUAAAGAGCAGCAGGAUUGGCCCGGUCCUGCUGAGCAUACUCGCCACCAAGCAGACAGGUUAUAGGGAGGAGCCCACACAGCAGGAGCAGGAGCAGGAGCAGAAUCGGGCCAGCCCCGCCACGGAGUCAACAUCUGUCAAAUGGAUCGAAUUAGCAAGUAUUUCAAGUGAAGGCCUUCAAGGCCCACUUAGGGAGCCAGGCCUGAGUGUCACUGACACUCCUUCAUGUUUGGUAUGCCCAGGGGGUGUGCAGCUGAGUACCACAGGAGGCGACAGCGAUUCAAGUCUCCAUUGUGAUCCUACCAACCUUGCCUCCCUCACGGGGGAGCCCGCAAGCGGCCAGCCGGAGGUGCUGCCUCACGGCUCACUGGCACGAGGCCUGAGAAACGGAGAGAGGAAGGGAGCGACAAGGACCAGGCCUAGGAUGCCCAGGGUUUCCUCAGUUAGGGAAUCUGGUCUUGGGGUAGGGGGGACGGACCAGGCUGGCAGGGGAUCCCAGGUGCCCAGGUUCUAGGGGCGGGGCUACAGGCUCGGAGGCGGAGCCCCAAAUGACAGAGGGCGGGACUCAAGAGAGUCGGUGAGGGCCGGGCAGGACUCGGUCGUUGUGGUUCCCAGGCUGGCAGUGUACGGGGUACAGUGACUCACCCAGGCGGCGUCCGCCCGACCCUCCAAAGCCGCGCUCUCACCACUUCCGUCUCCCGCAGCUGCUGAGGCCGCGCAGCUCGAACCCCACCACGGUCCCUUCUCCCCAGCCAAUCGGAUCUCCGGCCUGUACCCGACCUGGCCAAUGGCCACACGGAGUUCCGCCCUGCCUUACCACGCAGCCGCCGCCCUCACGCUCCACGCUGCUCACUGGUCCAGUGGGCAGACGCCCUCUCAGCCUGUAACCUAUCCGGCAUCCAGAGACCAGACAGUACCUGGAGGGAGGCGGCUUGGCGCCAGAAGACAGACGCGACCAAUAGGAAAUCACAGCGCGUCCCUAUGGCGGCCAAUGGGAGAGGAGUAAGAGGGGUUGCGGACUACGGCUCCGGGGACAGGAAGUACGGCAGCCCCGUCGCCUACUGGAAUGCAAGAAUGGGAGAAAAGCGUGCUGCUAGGAAAAGGGAAGGACUAGAUUUUAUUUCAUGUCCCUUCCCAAUGCUCCAUUACUCCCUUGUUUUUAAUCUCCCGGUCGAUGGAAAAGAAAAUCCUUCUGGAAAAAUGUCUUAAUCCGCAAAAAAGAGCUGCGUUUGUGGACCGCUGAAGCUACGGAAAAGCAAAACUUGAAAGACCCUUCUAGAAGGCUAGGAAUAAGCUCUCUCAUUGGCGGCGCUGGCGUUUCCUCUUGCGUGUUUGGACAGGUUCUUAUAACCUCUGAUUUUUAUCGACAACCGGCCUUGCGAUCCUCUGAGACCUAUAUUGGCCGCCAGUCUGACUGCGGCUUCCUAGUCCGUAAAAGGGGUGGAGGCACCGGGAGCCAGCCACUGGACGGAGGUGACCGCUGGAGGUCCCCGUGACGUGCUACUACUAACCAAACAGAAAUGGAAAGAUUCCGAUUCUCAGCAGACUGUCUGAAUGGGUCUGAGCACUUGGAUACCAGGCUAGUGUUCUCACGGGUUUAGUUUAUGAAGUACUGAAACUUUCAGUACAGUUAAAAGUCAUAGGGAAACAGAAACCUCUCCUGAGUUCACUGUUCCAGAACCUGCAUCUGCAACCUAGGCAAAGCUUGAUCCUGAACUCCUUGGGGGACAAGGAUGUGUUUUUUUCUGUCCCAGCAAUCUUUAAUUGCAGGACCUUCCGCAUUUGUUCAGUGCUCAACCAAAAGCUUCCUGGAAUUGAGUUUAAUUCUGAAUAGCUAUCCAAAUUUGGGGGGGGGGGGGAGAAGUUGGAGGUUGCCAUGUAGUUAAUAACCUUGUUUUCCCAAGAGCUGCUACAAAAUGAAGGUAUUGUAUGCGGGAAACAUGGAGUCCUGGCGCUCAGAUAAUGGAGGCAGAAGAGAAAUGGUCAGUAGAGCAAGCUGUAUUGUAAGCAGACUGAAGGGGAAACUCUUCCCCUCUUUCCGUUUCCUACUAAAAACCAGAGACCAGUGUCAUCCGCCUUUCAAACAGACGCUUAGCAGCUUUGCUUCCAGGAGAUGGUAAAGAUACAGAGACACCCAACACCAUGUAUAGAUUAAAGUUUAUUUCCUCUGAGUCUCUGAGAAGUUGGCAGGGAUAUAAGGCGAAGUGGUAGUAGCUGCAGGGGCCUGAGCAGAGCUGGUGCCGGAAGGGGCUGGCAUGGGCAGGAAGAAGAGAUUUAAAUAUUCCGGUCCAAAAGCCAGUUAGUGAGUUUCCUUCAUCUGUCUUUGGAUUUUGUGUAGCAUCUCCUGCAUCCGCCGCAGCUGAAAUAGGCACAUACAUCAAAACAAGGUGUUUGACAGGGAGAGCCUUACUAUAUUGGAGAUGUGUUCCCAGAUUCUAUUCCCUUGAAUCUGGCGCCUUGGUAGCCCUUAUAUAUGACGGAAAUGGCAGAACCACUCAGCAUCCCACAUAUACACCAGAGCCAGGGGUCUUUCUAUUCCCAAGCUAAGGGCUACUGAGAAUUAUCGAAUGGGACUUCCCAGGCUGACAGCCACAGCAUAGUGCUCUCACCUCUUCAUCUUUCUCUCGGAUUAGCUUCUCAGUUUCUGGAUCUGUCCCUGGUGGGACAGCAGGGAUAGGGAAGUCAGUACCACUCUCUCUUGUCAGUUUGCUGAAGGGAGGGGGAAAGGAGGGUAGUAAGGUUGGGGGAACCCCAGCACCAACUUGAGUGAAGCCUGGGGCCUGUAGAGUAAUAAGGGGAGGACUUGGGGUUCCCCUGGCCAGCUCUGUCCUGGCUGCCGGUCAUACUUGCGAUUCCGUUCCUUUACUACUAGGCGGGUCAUGCUCUGGAUGCACUGGGCCCUGUAGUUCUCAUAGUGUGUCUCUCGGGUCACAUCCUUCAGGUCCUGCAUGUGGGUACGCACCAGCAUUGUCCGCAACUUCACAAAGUCACAGUGACCCGGGUUUUCCACUGUAUAGCAAGGCUAGGAGUCAGUCCGGGUCACGGGUAAAGAAGAGCCCCUAAGGGCAAGGAUACUCUGGUCACAAGCUCAGAGCUUUACCUUCCACUAUGCCCCAAGGGUAGAGCCGGCCCCGAACUCUCCGCCCUCUGGCUUCUACCACAGUGUUGCUGCCAAUCACCGCAAAUGGGAUGCUUUCCUAAAAGAGGUUAUGGCUGCCGGUCAGCAUCCGUGUUCUCACCUGUCCUUUCUUUCCACUUGUAUCUUCUGCUGUGCUCUAAGAAGACAGGGUUCUCUUCCACCCCAACAGUCUGUCCUUAUAUAGACUUCUACUCCCCUCUUCUGCCCAGCAGAAACAAGGUAAGAAAGGGGGUGCCCUAGUGUGGCCCCACCUUUAGGGCUUGGUCCUGUAAUUUGAAGUCCUCAUCCUCAUCAGAAUCACAGUCUGGGAACUGAUAGAUCUUGAUUCCAAAGUGCUCAAUCUCCUCCCGGAUCUGGCAAACAGAUGAGGGGUCCACAGUUCUGGGUACCCCAUCUUUUCUAGAAGCCCACCUGAUUCCCUCCCUCCGUCAGCUCCCCUCACUUUGCAUUUCUUUCGGUCCACUUCAGGAGGCGUCAGUGUAUCUGCCUUAGCCAAGAUAGGCACAAUGUUGACCCGCUGAUGCAGGGCCUUCAUGAACUCAACAUCCAAUGGCCGGAGCCUGGGGAACAGGAAUCUGUGACCACCUGCUAGUGGUAGCCCUGCCUGCGGUGCUCUCGGCCUGUUCCCUUAGCAGAACCCGGUGGUGCCAGGAGCCUCAGGCUCAGACCAUACCCGUGGCCGAAGGGCGAGAUGAAGUAGAGGCAGCAGUGCACCCGGUUGUCUUGGAUGUUCUUGCGAUUCAGGCCACUCUCAUCUCGGAAAUACUGCUCAAACUGCUGGUCGAUGUAUUCCGCCACAGGCUUCCAGCUGGGGCAAGGACAGACAAGCAGAGAAACUGUGUGGGAGUGGGGGCUGCCUGGUGAACUCCGGCUUGAGCCCUGGUUCACUCUGGCUUUCUCUACUACUCUUUCAGGGAACGACCUGGGGAGGAUGGGAGUAGUUCACAUCUUGAUAGAAAAUUAGACUAGUCAUACAGGCAGUUCAAUACAUACUAGUUUGGUGGGAAAGGGGGGUUGAAGGGUAACCAGGCAAAGGAUUAAGAAUCGCAAAGUGGCAGCAGGUGACUACCAGCUAGAAACCAGGGGUACCCUAAGUCAAGUUCACCGUCUGGCCUCAGAGCCUUUGCCUCUCCAAAUCCCCUCAUCCUUACCCUACCUGGUUCUUCCAUGCAUGCUGCUUUGACAAGAGCAGCAUGUACGGCUCUGCUGCACUCUGCGGCCAUGAGUAUAUCACCACACACGGUCGCUACACUCUGCAGCCAUGUGUAUAUCACCACACACAGCCACUACACUCUGCAGCCAUGUGUAUAUCACCACACACAGCCACUACACUCUGCAGCCAUGUGUAUAUCACCACACACAGCCACUACACUCUGCAGCCAUGUGUAUAUCACCACACACAGCCACUACACUCUGCAGCCAUGUGUAUAUCACCACACAUGGUCAACCACAAUGAAGCCAUGUUGAACCUGUCAACUUUGAGUCCAGAGAUUUCAUUUGUCCCACCAGACGAUAAUUGAGCUAAAGAAACACUGCCAUCAUAACAUCAUGGCACCUAGUGUUACAUGUGCUGUCACGCAUGUAAAACUACAGCACACAGAGAGCUGAUGAGAGAACUCAGCUGGUAAGAGUGCUUGCCACUCAACCCUAGUGACCUGUGUUCAGUCCCAGGACACAAACACACACCAUGCACACCGACAGUAAGUUUAUAAAAAGUACAGCACACAAAUCGAUAUCAGUAAUCACAACUGGCUGUCACCUGAUUCACUAUACCUUAGUGUAUGCUUUAUACUUAUAAGAAAUGUUUAUUGUAGCCGGGCAGUGGUGGUGCACGCCUUUAAUCCCAGCACUCGGGAGGCAGAGGCAGAGGCAGGCGGAUCUCUGUGAGUUCGAGGCCAGCCUGGUCUACAAGAGCUAGUUCCAGGACAGGUUCCAAAGCUACAGAGAGAGACCCUGUCUCAAAAAGAGAGAGAAAGACAUGUUUAUCAUAAAGCAGAGGCUGUGCUUUGCCAGCGGCAGCCUCGUCUGUCUGCUAGUCAGUCUAUUGCCCUAGAGAGGCCGUGUCCAGCAACUGAUCUAUAACAUCUGGGCGUGUGUUAGUACACUCUGUGAUGUUCAUACAAUGAUGAAAUAAAAUGUGUUUCUCAGAA